GUGGUGCAGUUGGUAGCACUAUUGCCUUGCAGCAAGAGGAUCCUGGGUUAGAAUCCCAGC
rnacentral:tRNA from 1 species